rnacentral:tRNA from 1 species
GCCGCGGUGGUGAAACUGGUAGACACGCUAGCUUCAGGAGCUAGUUCUCGCAAGGGAUUGGGAGUUCGAGUCUCCCCCGCGGCACCA